rnacentral:ncRNA from 2 species
UGCUUAUCAAGAGUGGUGGAGGGACUGGCCCUAUGAAACCCGGCAACCUGUAAAUUAAAAUAUAGUAUUUUUAUAUUUAUUUUUACGUGGUGCUAAAUCCUGCAACAAAAUGUUGGGAGAUGAGAG